GGGUCUCGUAGCUCUGAAAUAUUUGAUUUUUCUUUUAUUUAGAAGUGAAUAUUACUGUGUUCAUGUUUAUUAUUCAUGUCUAGUGAAGAUAUAGUGACUGUACGUGUUGACAGAAUGGCGUCUCCCUUCCCUCUGGCAACAGAUAAAAUAGCCGGUGUUGGUCCCACGUGGAGACAGGCCACAGUCUUGGGAAAGCGUUAGCCAUGUAAUGUUUCUUUAGUCAAAUAUAAUCUACUGUGAAUGUGUUGUGAGCAAUAUUAUUGCCGUAGAGAAGUGAUGGAGGAAGGCUGUGACGUUAUUUAGGGAUAUAACGGUGCCCAGAAUGAAUGGUACUCUUGAGGAGUUAUAAAAGUAAUUAUUUUCUUGUGUAUUCGUAGUGUUAAGUAACGGAGUAUAAGUGUAUAUGCCAUACCAGAAUUUCAAGUGUCAUAGUCGGUCAGUCAACCCAAAGAAUCCCAUCAGUAUUAUUCAUUUAAUUAUUUUUGCUAUUUUUAUAUUUUUCGUUCCUCCUAAUAAAGCCACACUGUAGG